rnacentral:rRNA from 1 species
UACAGAGGUCCCAAGCGUUGUUCGGAUUCACUGGGCGUAAAGGGUGCGUAGGUGGUUGGGUAAGUUUGAUGUGAAAUCUCUGAGCUCAACUCAGAAACUGCAUUGAAUACUAUCUGGCUAGAGAAUCGGAGGGGGGACUGGAAUACUUGGUGUAGCAGUGAAAUGCGUAGAUAUCAAGUGGAACACCAGUGGCGAAGGCGAGUCCCUGGACGAUUUCUGACACUGAGGCACGAAAGCUAGGGGAGCAAACAGG